rnacentral:rRNA from 1 species
UCCUACGGGGCGCAGCAGUGGGGAAUAUUGCACAAUGGGGGAAACCCUGAUGCAGCGACGCCGCGUGAAGGAAGAAGUAUUUCGGUAUGUAAACUUCCAUCAGCAGGGAAGAAAAUGACGGUACCUGACUAAGAAGCCCCGGCUAACUACGUGCCAGCAGCCGCGGUAAUACGUAGGGGGCAAGCGUUAUCCGGAUUUACUGGGUGUAAAGGGAGCGUAGGCGGCUUAGCAAGUCAGAAGUGAAAGCCCGGGGCUCAACUCCGGGACUGCUUUUGAAACUGCUGAACUAGAUUGCAGGAGAGGUA